rnacentral:rRNA from 1 species
CCCUUAGACGUUCUGGGCCGCACGCGCGCUACACUGACGAAGGCAACGAGCUUUCCUUUACCGAAAGGUACGGGUAAUCUUUUGAAACUUCGUCGUGCUGGGGAUAGAUCCUUGCAAUUUUUGAUCUUAAACGAGGAAUGCCUAGUAAGCGCAAGUCAUCAACUUGCGUUGAUUACGUCCCUGCCCUUUGUACACACCGCCCGUCGCUCCUACCGAUUGGAUGAUCCGGUGAGCUAUUCGGACUUUCGCAUUGUCGAUUUUCGGCUUUACGAGGGAAAGUCUCGCGAACCUUAUCAUCUAGAGGAAGGAGAAGUCGUAACA